rnacentral:miRNA from 2 species
ACUAUAUAUCAAGCAUAUUCCU